AUUAAAAUGAGUUGUGAAAGUUUGAACGCUGAAUUAAAUAUUUUCUCAUAUUCAGCAAUUAAUCGAACUGUAAGGAUUCUUUAACAAAUUAGCAGUCAUUUUGUUUUCAUAGUUUAGUUGCAAAAUAUAUAUAUUUUUUUUUAUAAAAAACGGAUUUAAUGGAACUACUUUAUUUUGACCAACCGGUUGUGAUGAGGCAGUUGUCAUAUGACCCAAAACUGCAUUCUCCGUGGCGUGUUAUUGAGUGUAGCCAGCAGCAAAUUCAACGGAGACAACUAAAUCGAUGGCUGAAUUUAAUUAAUGUGUUUAUAGUGCAGAGCUGGAAAUAAUAGUUGUGGGACUGUAAUAAUUCCUCCCAGUGUCUAAUCACACUUCAAGGUCAAGCAGCUGAGACAACGAUGGGGAAUGGAGAUGCAGUUACUCAUCUUACCACUUGAGGGCAGCGAAGUGUAAGAUUUGGCAGUGAAUCUUAUUGCAAAACAGAAUAUCACCAUUAUUACUUGUCCGGUCUUAAUUUAAAACUGGUCCCCCUUUCCUGAGCAUUCUGUCAUACAGUCCCACAAAAUACAAGCAGACAAAACACCACAACUGGGAUGCUUUUUGAGAGCACCGUGAUUCUGUUUGAAGUUACAAAGGAGAGACAGGUAAAAGUGGUCAAUACUGACAAGUGUUUUAUUAGUAACACAGACCUGGGGACUGAGCCAAAAAGAAGCAGUCUUGACAAGACUGAAAUUGUUCAAAUGUCAUUGAAAAGACAGGCGCAGACAAUGGAACCAAUACGGUCAGGGGAACAGGCAACAAUCAAAAGGGAUGCUCAUUCUGCUUCAAAUAGAAAACAACAAAGUAAAAAUGCAGAAAUUAAGUGCAAAUCUCAAAUUGAAAUGUAUCAGGCAUAAGAUUUUCAAUAAUGGAGUUGUCUAUGUCAUCAUGGUAACUGAAAUAUUUUUUUAACCAUUAUUUUCUUUCAUAAGUUCUUCAGUCCAUCCUUACAUCCUACAAGGGGUUUUGGAGGAACAAGUUUGAGAUAAAUGAUCAUGUCUAACCAACAGUCAUUUGAUUUAAAAAAAUAAAAAUAGACUGCUUUAUACUUCAUCCAGAGAGGUCUGUGUUGUGUAGCAAAUCUUCAUUGCGUAGAACUACCUGUCAUAACUCGAUCAUUGGUACCCCCGACAUGAAUUACCCUGGUUGAUUGACAGGGCCUAUAUUCCCCCAAUCAAAACUAUCAUCCUCCAUCUAAUCCUGUCGUCCGGUUCCUCUUGGCCAUCUUAACAGAAGUAAAGUCCAGUACCAAGUUGAGAAAGAGAGAGUAAAAUAACAGGCGUCAUUAGAGGUGCAGUCCAGACUAAUGACAUGUAAGAAAAAAAGGAUGGAAACUUGUCUAGUUCAUUGCCUUGCUGUCCCUAUUAUUUUUGUAACGUCAAAAGUUUAGCAUGACGAACAAACGUGAGCAUUCUCCCAUCUCAUGUACAAAAAACUCAGCCCCAUGCGUACUUACACAGAGUCAGUAUUAGGAACUAAGGCAGAGAGACUCCAUUUAGUUUUUUCAAAAAUCAUA